UACGGAUGAAAGCAGGGGAUCGCAAGACCUUGCGCGGACGGAGCGGCCGAUGGCAGAUUAGGUAGUUGGUGGGGUAAAGGCUCACCAAGCCGACGAUCUGUAGCUGGUCUGAGAGGACGACCAGCCACACUGGGACUGAGACACGGCCCAGACUCCUACGGGAGGCAGCAGUGGGGAAUUUUGGACAAUGGGCGCAAGCCUGAUCCAGCCAUGCCGCGUGCAGGAUGAAGGCCUUCGGGUUGUAAACUGCUUUUGUACGGAACGAAAAGGUCUUCUCUAAUAAAGAGGGCUCAUGACGGUACCGUAAGAAUAAGCACCGGCUAACUACGUGCCAGCAGCCGCGGUAAUACGUAGGGUGCAAGCGUUAAUCGGAAUUACUGGGCGUAAAGCGUGCGCAGGCGGUGAUGUAAGACAGAUGUGAAAUCCCCGGGCUCAACCUGGGAACUGCAUUUGUGACUGCAUCGCUGGAGUGCGGCAGAGGGGGAUGGAAUUCCCAGUGUAGCGGUGAGAUGCGUAGAUAUUGGGAGGAACACCAGUGGCGAAGGCGACUUUCUGGACGGUGUCUGACGCUGAGGCGCGAAAGCCAGGGAAGUGAACGGGAUUAGAUACCCCGGUAAUCCUGGCCGUAAACGAUGGGUACUAGGUGUAGAGGGUAUCGACCCCUUCUGUGCCGGAGUUAAC
rnacentral:rRNA from 1 species